AAGUUAUUUACUCUGUCCAACAAAAGAUGUCUCAAGUUUGUCAAAAUUUGAAUGUAUCUAGAUAUGACUUAGUGUAUAGAUGCAUUCAAAUUUGUUCAAAAUUGAGACAUCCUUUGUUGGACGGAGGGAGUAUGAA
rfam:Brachypodium distachyon strain Bd21 chromosome 3, whole genome shotgun sequence.